rnacentral:rRNA from 1 species
GAUGAACGCUGGCGGCGUGCCUAAUACAUGCAAGUCGAGCGAACGGACGAGAAGCUUGCUUUUCUGAUGUUAGCGGCGGACGGGUGAGUAACACGUGGAUAACCUACCUAUAAGACUGGGAUAACUUCGGGAAACCGGAGCUAAUACCGGAUAAUAUUUUGAACCGCAUGGUUCAAAAGUGAAAGACGGUCUUGCUGUCACUUAUAGAUGGAUCCGCGCUGCAUUAGCUAGUUGGUAAGGUAACGGCUUACCAAGGCAACGAUGCAUAGCCGACCUGAGAGGGUGAUCGGCCACACUGGAACUGAGACACGGUCCAGGCUCCUACGGGAGGCAGCAGUAGGGAAUCUUCCGCAAUGGGCGAAAGCCUGACGGAGCAACGCCGCGUGAGUGAUGAAGGUCUUCGGAUCGUAAAACUCUGUUAUUAGGGAAGAACAUAUGUGUAAGUAACUGUGCACAUCUUGACGGUACCUAAGCAGAAAGCCACGGCUAACUACGU